rnacentral:pre_miRNA from 1 species
GGGGGGAGUGCCGGAUCCUGGGCUGUGUCCCUGGCGCCCUGUGCUCCCGAGCCUGUGCUAUUGGAAUCGCUCUCCCGGGCCACACAGCCCCCU